rnacentral:lncRNA from 1 species
GUUGCUACGGAGGCCAUUUUGGCACAUGGCGCAUGCUACUCAAUCAAAAUAAUAAAUAAUGAAGGGAUUUUGAAUAAGCUAAAGUAUAGCAUUAAUCAUGCUGUCCUCGUUGUCUAUUUUAAGAGGAUGCAUCACGUCGUCAAGGACCAAACAAGGUGCUUUACCGAAAAAAAAAAGGGGACCAAACGCAAACAAGGUGCCUCGCGGAAGGCGUGGU